rnacentral:rRNA from 1 species
CCUACGGGGGACAGCAGUGGGGGAUAUUGCACAAUGGGGGAAACCCUGAUGCAGCGACGCCGCGUGGGUGAAGAAGUAUUUCGGUAUGUAAAGCCCUAUCAGCAGGGAAGAAAGAAGACGGUACCUGACUAAGAAGCCCCGGCUAACUACGUGCCAGCAGCCGCGGUAAUACGUAGGGGGCGAGCGUUAUCCGGAUUCACUGGGUGUAAAGGGAGCGUAGACGGCCGUGCAAGCCAGGAGUGAAAGCCCGGGGCCCAACCCCGGGACUGCUCUUGGAACUGUGCGGCUGGAGUGCGGGAGGGGCAGGCGGAAUUCCUGGUGUAGCGGUGAAAUGCGUAGAUAUCAGGAGGAACACCGGCGGCGAAGGCGGCCUGCUGGACCGCGACUGACGUUGAGGCUCGAAAGCGUGGGGAGCGAACAGGAUUAGAUACCCUUGUAGUC